GCGAGGCCGAAAGGCGUAGUCGAUGGGAAACAGGUUAAUAUUCCUGUACUUGGUGUUACUGCGAAGGGGGGACGGAGAAGGCUAUGUUAGCCGGGCGACGGUUGUCCCGGUUUAAGCAUGUAGGCUGGUUAUCCAGGCAAAUCCGGAUAACCAAGGCUGAGGUGUGAUGACGAGGCACUACGGUGCUGAAGUAACAAAUGCCCUGCUUCCAGGAAAAGCCUCUAAGCAUCAGGUAACAUCAAAUCGUACCCCAAACCGACACAGGUGGUCAGGUAGAGAAUACCAAGGCGCUUGAGAGAAC
rnacentral:rRNA from 1 species